rnacentral:rRNA from 1 species
UGAACGCUGGCGGCGUGCCUAAUACAUGCACGUCGAGCGAACGGACGAGAAGCUUGCUUCUCUGAUGUUAGCGGCGGACGGGUGAGUAACACGUGGAUAACCUACCUAUAAGACUGGGAUAACUUCGGGAAACCGGAGCUAAUACCGGAUAAUAUUUUGAACCGCAUGGUUCAAAAGUGAAAGACGGUCUUGCUGUCACUUAUAGAUGGAUCCGCGCUGCAUUAGCUAGUUGGUAAGGUAACGGCUUACCAAGGCAACGAUGCAUAGCCGACCUGAGAGGGUGAUCGGCCACACUGGAACUGAGACACGGUCCAGACUCCUACGGGAGGCAGCAGUAGGGAAUCUUCCGCAAUGGGCGAAAGCCUGACGGGGCAACGCCGCGUGAGUGAUGAAGGUCUUCGGAUCGUAAAACUCUGUUAUUAGGGAAGAACAUAUGUGUAAGUAACUGUGCACAUCUUGACGGUACCUAAUCAGAAAGCCACGGCUAACUACGUG